rnacentral:rRNA from 1 species
CCUACGGGAGGCAGCAGUGGGGAAUAUUGCACAAUGGGCGCAAGCCUGAUGCAGCCAUGCCGCGUGUGUGAAGAAGGCCUUCGGGUUGUAAAGCACUUUCAGCGGGGAGGAAGGCGGUGAGGUUAAUAACCUCAUCGAUUGACGUACCCGCAGAAGAAGCACCGGCUAACUCCGUGCCAGCAGCCGCGGUAAUACGGAGGGUGCAAGCGUUAAUCGGAAUUACUGGGCGUAAAGCGCACGCAGGCGGUCUGUCAAGUCGGAUGUGAAAUCCCCGGGCUCAACCUGGGAACUGCAUUCGAAACUGGCAGGCUAGAGUCUUGUAGAGGGGGGUAGAAUUCCAGGUGUAGCGGUGAAAUGCGUAGAGAUCUGGAGGAAUACCGGUGGCGAAGGCGGCCCCCUGGACAAAGACUGACGCUCAGGUGCGAAAGCGUGGGGAGCAAACAGGAUUAGAUACCCGUGUAGUC